CUUGAGGUUUGUCCAAAGCCUCUUCCUGCAGGAUAAAACUGAUUGUGUUUUUUGAAUGCUUAGACGUCAUGGACUGGUGUUUGCCUGCCAUUGUAUAACCAUGGAGAUAUUAGAUCCGGAAAUCUCUCACCAUCGCCAUUUCACAAUUAAAAUGGGAGCAAAUUAUUUUUAGAAGUUCCAAGAUGUCUUCUUUUGUAGUAGGUGAAUCGAGGUAAGUAAAGGGAUUUUCGUUGG